UACGAAGGGGGCUAGCGUUGCUCGGAAUCACUGGGCGUAAAGCGCACGUAGGCGGAUUGCUAAGUCAGGGGUGAAAUCCUGGAGCUCAACUCCAGAACUGCCUUUGAUACUGGCGACCUUGAGUCCGGGAGAGGUGAGUGGAACUGCGAGUGUAGAGGUGAAAUUCGUAGAUAUUCGCAAGAACACCAGUGGCGAAGGCGGCUCACUGACCCGGUACUGACGCUGAGGUGCGAAAGCGUGGGGAGCAAACAGG
rnacentral:rRNA from 1 species